rnacentral:sRNA from 1 species
AAAAAGACUAAAUAAUCAAAGUGUAAAGAUGAUGGGUGACUUUCUGGGAAAUUCUCGUGUUGCAUUCCUUUUUUUUUUGGAAGUUCUUUUGACUCAAUGGUUGACAAAAGGUUCACUAAUGCUUCUAUACCAAAAGGUCUGGGAUUCAAGUCCUAACUACUGCGAUUUAUUAGCAAAUUUGCAGAUCAAUGGAGACAAGUGUCCACGAAAUCUACAACGAAGUACAAUUAUAGCCGUUCGCCAAGAUUCUACGCAAAAAAAAUAUUGAAAAUGUCCAUCAAGCGUAUAGAGAAGGAGAAGAAUGUAUCGUCUGUCGUGGAUCUAAUAAAGGUCGGAAAGAAUUAUCCGUGGUAGAAUCGUUUAUGUAACAUUUUUCAUAAUUUGUAAUAAAUAAUAAAUCUAGACGGGUAAAAAAAAAAGUCAAAAUAUAGAGAAUAUU